UCCAUCGAAAGGUCCAAACAUUACAUCAAUUACCAAUAUGACGUCCACUUCAAUAAAGAUCGUCUGGGAGAAGUUGAGUGCCGAUGAUUCGAAUGGAGAAAUAACAGGAUAUGAAGUUUGUUAUAAGGCUUCAUCAACUUCGGGAGAUUUUGACUGCAAUAUAAGUAAGCCAGUUACUGGUGCCGAUACAACCACGACUGUUUUGCAUAACUUGGAUAAAGCAACUACAUUUAAUGUCGCUACUAGAGCUGGAACUGUGAAGGGACUUGGACCUCUUGGUCCCACUGUAAGCACAAAAACGCUUGAAGAUAG